AUGCUUUCUUGGUGGUCUUUUUUGCUUCACAUUUUUUGGGUAUGCCACUUCUCUAAUGAGUGGGUGCAUCUCUUCUUUGUUUUAUCAUUCUAUAUUUUUUUCCUAACCUUUUUGGUAUUCUGCUUUCUCCUUGCAGAUGGCAAGCACCAUUUUGUUGGUUCCUGUCUUGCCAAUGUCUACAGCAAUGUGUGUGUCCUCUGUCUCAUCUGUGGGGCAACUCAUAAUGGGCCUAUCAAGCAUACUGACCUUGUGAUGAUAGAUAAAGAGGUUGAUUUCAGUGCCAUUCAGAUAAUAUAUUUUUAG
rnacentral:rRNA from 1 species